CAGCCGCGCGGUAAUACGAAGGGGGCUAGCGUUGCUCGGAAUGACUGGGCGUAAAGGGCGCGUAGGCGGCGGCCAAAGUCAGGCGUGAAAUUCCCGGGCUCAACCUGGGGGCUGCGUUUGAUACUUGGUUGCUUGAGUGGGGAAGAGGGUCGUGGAAUUCCCAGUGUAGAGGUGAAAUUCGUAGAUAUUGGGAAGAACACCAGUGGCGAAGGCGGCUCACUGGACCGACACUGACGCUGAGGCGCGAAAGCGUGGGGAGCAAACAGGAUUAGAUACCCCCGUAGUCCCUGUCUCUUAUACA
rnacentral:rRNA from 1 species